AUAAUAACUAGGGAUGGGCAUUCGAUUAAAUUUUCUUAGUCGAUCGUCGGGAGAAUUAACGAUCAACUAUCGAUUAAUCAUUAAUAUUUUUAAAAUAUAAUUAAUUAUUUAAUUUUUAUAAUUAAAAAAUGCAAUGAAUACAAAAAUACAGCGCGUUUUUCUUCGGUGAGACCUUUAUUACAAGAUCAACUUGUGGCAGAAAGUUAAACUACGUUCAGGCAAACCGAACAUAUAUGCGCGUGCAUAUGCGGUGCUCUAAAGCAGCGGAACCUGCAGCUGCGAGCUGGCGUUCACAAACAGAGACCUCAUUUGUCCCAAAAUAAUAAUAAUAAUAAAAGAAUCAUGUUAAACAAUAACAUAAAAAACAUAAUAAUACUUAGAUCUGACAGGUUUUGUCAAAAUGGAACUCAAAACUAUCCAAGCCAGAAGAAAAGGCCAGAUAUUAGCCUUCCUAACAAUUACGCUAACUUAACAAAUUAUGCUACUUAAAGCCUAGUGAAAAAUAACUAACUUUAGUAACUAGCAUACAACUUCUGCACGAGUCUACGGAUUUUUGUUGAGAAAUAUAAGCAUGUUGACAUGAUUUGGGGUCAGACGCGACUGCAACCUGGUGUCCAUCAGCCGCCGAAAACACCCGCUCUGAGGGAACUGACGUUGCCAAGAUGCACAGGUACAUCAUUUGAGUCGUGGCCAUGUUGUACUUAUACACGGCAUCGCAAUGUUUGCAGUUAACUAUUUCGCUUUUUAAAUCAAAAUGGUCCCACGCCACACUUCGCCGUGACCUCUUCAUGAUUAUU